AUUGCACGCUGGCGGCAGGCCUAACACAUGCAAGUCGAGCGGAGCGGCGGACGGGUGAGUAAUGACUAGGAAUCUGCCUGGUAGUGGGGGAUAACGUCCGGAAACGGGAGCUAAUACCGCAUAGUAUAAGAUGAGCAUAGGUCGGAUUAGCUUGUUGUGGGGGUAAAGGCCUACGAAGGCGACGAUCCGUAACUGGUCUCAGAGGAUGAUCAGUCACACUGGAACUGAGACACGGUCCAGACUCCUACGUGAGGCAGCAGUGGGGAAUAUUGGACAAUGGGCGAAAGCCUGAUCCAGCCAUGCCGCGGGUGUGAAGAAGGUCUUCGGAUUGUAAAGCACUUUAAGUUGGGAGGCGUUACCAACAGAAUAAGCACCGGCUAACUUCGUGCCAGCAGCCGCGGUAAUUC
rnacentral:rRNA from 1 species